rfam:Chlorocebus sabaeus isolate 1994-021 chromosome 6, whole genome shotgun sequence.
UCUGGGCAUGGUGGUGUGUGCCUAUAGUCCCAGUUACUUGGGAGGCUGAGGCAGAAGAAUCACUUGAACCCGGGAGGCGGAGGUUGCAGUGAGCCGAGAUCGUGCCAUUGCACUCCAGCCUGGCAACAGAGCCACACUCCAUCUCAAANAGGAUAAGAGUUGCAUCUUAGGUGAUAAUUUUUUUUUUUUUUUUUUUAAAUGGAGGGGGGUCCUGUUGCCAGGCUGGAGUGCAAUGGCACGAUCUCGGCUCACUGCAACCUCCGCCUCCCGGGUUCAAGCGAUUCUCCUGCCUCAGC